rnacentral:rRNA from 1 species
CCUACGGGAGGCAGCAGUCGAGAAUCAUUCACAAUGGGGGAAACCCUGGUGGUGCGACGCCGCGUGGGGGAAUGAAGGUCUUCGGAUUGUAAACCCCUGUCAUGUGGGAGCAAAUUAAAAAGAUAGUACCACAAGAGGAAGAGACGGCUAACUCUGUGCCAGCAGCCGCGGUAAUACAGAGGUCUCAAGAGUUGUUCGGAAUCACUGGGCGUAAAGCGUGCGUAGGCUGUUUCGUAAGUCGUGUGUGAAAGGCGCGGGCUCAACCCGCGGACGGCACAUGAUACUGCGAGACUAGAGUAAUGGAGGGGGAACCGGAAUUCUCGGUGUAGCAGUGAAAUGCGUAGAUAUCGAGAGGAACACUCGUGGCGAAGGCGGGUUCCUGGACAUUAACUGACGCUGAGGCACGAAGGCCAGGGGAGCGAAAGGGAUUAGAUACCCGGGUAGUC